GCGUAAAGCGAGCGCAGGCGGUUUUGUAAGUCUGCUGUGAAAGCCCUCAGCUCAACUGAGGAAGUGCAGUGGAAACUACAAAACUUGAGUACAGAAGAGGAAAGUGGAACUCCAUGUGUAGCGGUGAAAUGCGUAGAUAUAUGGAAGAACACCAGUGGCGAAGGCGGCUUUCUGGUCUGUUACUGACGCUGAGGCUCGAAAGCAUGGGUAGCGAACAGGAUUAGAUACCCUGGUAGUCCAUGCCGUAAACGAUGAAUACUAGGUGUUGGAGGGUUUCCGCCCUUCAGUGCCGCAGCUAACGCAUUAAGUAUUCCGCCUGGGGAGUACGACCGCAAGGUUGAAACUCAAAGGAAUUGACGGGGGCCCGCACAAGUGGUGGAGCAUGUGGUUUAAUUCGAUGCUACGCGAAGAACCUUACCAGCUCUUGACAUCUUCUGCCAACCCAAGAGAUUGGGCGUUCCCUUCGGGGACAGAAUGACAGGUGGUGCAUGGUUGUCGUCAGCUCGUGUCGUGAGAUGUUGGGUUAAGUCCCGCAACGAGCGCAACCCUUAUUAUUAGUUGCCAGCAUUUAGUUGGGCACUCUAGUGAGACUGCCGGUGAUAAACCGGAGGAAGGUGGGGACGACGUCAAAUCAUCAUGCCCCUUAUGAGCUGGGCUACACACGUGCUACAAUGGAUGGUACAACGAGUCGCGAAACCGCGAGGUCAAGCUAAUCUCUUAAAGCCAUUCUCAGUUCGGAUUGCAGGCUGCAACUCGCCUGCAUGAAGUUGGAAUCACUAGUAAUCGUGGAUCAGCAUGCCACGGUGAAUACGUUCCCGGGCCUUGUACACACCGCCCGUCACACCAUGAGAGUUUGUAACACCCAAAGACGAUGGGGUAACC
rnacentral:rRNA from 2 species